CGACCGGCGCACGGGUGAGUAACGCGUAUCCAACCUUCCCAUUACUGUGGGAUAACCUGCCGAAAGGCAGACUAAUACCGCAUAGUCUUCGAUGACGGCAUCAGAUUUGAAGUAAAGAUUUAUCGGUAAUGGAUGGGGAUGCGUCUGAUUAGCUUGUUGGCGGGGUAACGGCCCACCAAGGCGACGAUCAGUAGGGGUUCUGAGAGGAAGGUCCCCCACAUUGGAACUGAGACACGGUCCAAACUCCUACGGGAGGCAGCAGGA
rnacentral:rRNA from 1 species